CCUACGGGAGGCAGCAGUGAGGAAUAUUGGUCAAUGGGCGUGAGCCUGAACCAGCCAAGUAGCGUGAAGGAUGACUGCCCUACGGGUUGUAAACUUCUUUUAUCAAGGAAUAAAGUGAGGCACGUGUGCCCUUUUGUAUGUACUUUAUGAAUAAGGAUCGGCCGACUCCGUGCCAGCAGCCGCGGUAAUAAGGAGGAUCCGAGCGUUAUCCGGGUUUAUUGGGUUUAAAGGGAGCGUAGAUGGGUUGGUAAGCCAGUCGGGAAAGUGUCGGGUUCAACCGUCACAUUGCAAUUGAAACUGGCAGCCUUGAGUGCAGGUGAGGUAGGCGGAAUUCGUGGUGUAGCGGUGAAAUGCUUAGAUAUCACGAAGAACUCCGAUUGCGAAGGCAGCCUACUAAACUGCCACUGACGUUGAUGCUCGAAAGUGUGGGUAUCAAACAGGAUUAGAUACCCCUGUAGUC
rnacentral:rRNA from 1 species